AGUCUAACGUGAUGCCAAAUUAAGUUUAAGUGAGGCACCAAAAUAAAUUAGGUGCUGGCUUCCGAAUGAGACAGUGGACUAUAUGUAGGCCAUCUUGGGAGGUGACCCACUUUGUGCCCAGCUGCCACCAGCUGGAAACAUUUUUGGAAUGAAGAAUGACCUGUCCAAGGACUAGGGACCAGGUGGGCCAGUUAAACCCACUGUGCCUGUGGAGUCUUGGGUUAUCCUGUGAUGUUGGCCAAGACAGCUUCUUGUCUUUAUGCCAUG